GACGAACGCUGGCGGCGUGCUUAACACAUGCCAGUCGAACGGAGAGGCCCUGCUUGCAGGGUGCUCGGGUGGCGAACGGGGGAGAAACACGUGGGUGAUCUCCCCCUUACUUUGGGAUAAGCCUGCUAAACUGGGUCUAAUACUGGUGAGGACCAUGCUGCAGGCGGUGUGGUGGAAAGAUUAGUUUCGGUAAGGUGUGAGCUGGCGGCCUCUCAGCUUGUUGGUGGGGUAGUGGCCUAACAAGGCGUCGACGGGUAGCCGGCCUGAGAGGGUGGGCGGCCACAUAGGGACUGGGGGACGGCGCAGACGCCUAGGGGAGGCAGCAGUGGGGAAGAGGGCAAAAUGGGCGCAAGCCGGAUGGAGCGACGCCGCGUGGGGGAUGAAGGCCUUCGGGUUGUAAAGCCCUAAAGGCCAUGAAGAAGCGCUUGUGGUGACGGUAGUGGAAGAAGAAGCACCGGCUAACUACGUG
rnacentral:rRNA from 1 species